UUAAACGAAGCCAAAGAGAGGCCUAUCACUGUUAAUGAUAAAACUGACGGAAAGUCCGUUUAAG
rnacentral:tRNA from 1 species